rnacentral:rRNA from 1 species
AGCGAACGCUGGCGGCAGGCCUAACACAUGCAAGUCGAACGCACCUUCGGGUGAGUGGCGGACGGGUGAGUAACACGUGGGAACGUACCUUUUGGUUCGGAAUAACGCAGGGAAACUUGUGCUAAUACCGAAUGUGCCCUUCGGGGGGAAAGAUUUUAAUCGCCAUUAGAGCGGCCCGCGUAGGAUUAGCUAGUUGGUGG